rnacentral:miRNA from 1 species
CGCGCCGAUUGUCUCCUCCGGGCAC